rnacentral:rRNA from 1 species
AGUAUGAGUUAAUCUUGAAACCUAAAAUAUUUGGCGGUUUUUUAGUCUAGUUAGAGGAACCUGUCCUGUGAUCGAUGGUCCACGAUAGAUUUAACUUUUUUUUUAAAUAUCGCCGUCGACGGCAGGUCAAGAUUUAGCUUGUGAAGAAGGGUGAAAGUGGAUUUAAAAGUUUAUGGAGGAGAAUUGAGCCCUAAGGAAUGU